rnacentral:lncRNA from 1 species
AACCCGCGUCACACUGCAGGCAGCCACUUCUGUGACGCAGUUCUAGCUCUUUGCACCGGGUUUUGCGUGCUCGUCUGACAUGCGUUCGGGGAAACUGAGCAUCCGGGAGCCGGUGUAAGCCGUGACCGCAGCCUGAGGAGCCGGGCCCUCCUGCGGGGGUUGAAUGCCGGGUCCCUGGCACGCGGAGGAGAGGCGGUGGGAGGCGGGGCGCGGCCGGAGCGCUGCACGCCGCUGGCCUCUGCCCCGCAGGCCUGGCCGAGGAGCGGAGGCGCCCGGCUGGGCCCCACAGACACCGGGACUGUGGCCAUCAGGCCAGGGCCAGGGACUCCGUCUGCACCCGGCCUCUAGGGCCCUCACUCCCACAGCGCCCCCCAGCGGCACAGGGCCUCCUGGACGGAACUGAAAGUCUGAAAGUCCUGCCGGGCGACGCUCUGUUUGCACGUUUCGUCCACGUCUGCAGUGCAUCGUGACUGCGCUCCUCCCGUGGCGAAGGGACUGUCAAACUCCGCAAGGGCAGCCAUUGGUGUAAUCAGCAAAAAGCCAUCCUGCAGCUGGAAAAAAAUUACAUCUUUGAAUAAUGCUGCUGGAGGAGUUUAACAUUUUGGAAAAGAAACUCAAUAAAAACUAAGGAGAAUAUAUAUUUAAAAAAUAAAAAAAUGCAAAUACCCUGAAAAUAACCAAUUUUGCAAACUACAGGGUUUGGAAUUGAAGAAAACCAAACACUUGCCAUCAUCUACUGCUACAACCAUGGGUUCCUUUCCUCCCAGCAGCUCAGAUUCUUUGCCUCUGGUCCUCACACCCCAACCCAAAGGCCCAAAUAACUCAUGGUGGGAACAUCAGGUACCUGAAGUUUAAAUACAAUGACCUACCGUUUUAAUGACUGUUCAGGCUUAUGACCCUCCACUUGGACUUACACCCA